rnacentral:rRNA from 1 species
CUGCGGAAGGAUCAUUACCGAGUGUAGGGUUCCUAGCGAGCCCAACCUCCCACCCGUGUUUACUGUACCUUAGUUGCUUCGGCGGGCCCGCCAUUCAUGGCCGCCGGGGGCUCUCAGCCCCGGGCCCGCGCCCGCCGGAGACACCACGAACUCUGUCUGAUCUAGUGAAGUCUGAGUUGAUUGUAUCGCAAUCAGUUAAAACUUUCAACAAUGGAUCUCUUGGUUCCGGCAUCGAUGAAGAACGCAGCGAAAUGCGAUAACUAGUGUGAAUUGCAGAAUUCCGUGAAUCAUCGAGUCUUUGAACGCACAUUGCGCCCCCUGGUAUUCCGGGGGGCAUGCCUGUCCGAGCGUCAUUGCUGCCCAUCAAGCACGGCUUGUGUGUUGGGUCGUCGUCCCCUCUCCGGGGGGGACGGGCCCCAAAGGCAGCGGCGGCACCGCGUCCGAUCCUCGAGCGUAUGGGGCUUUGUCACCCGCUCUGUAGGCCCGGCCGGCGCUUGCCGAACGCAAAUCAAUCUUUUUCCAGGUUGACCUCGGAUCAGGUAGGGAUACCCGCUGAACUUAAGCAUAUCAAUAAGCCGGAGGAAA